GCAUCGAUGGUUUAGUGGUAUAAUUGCCGCCUGCCACGCGGCAGACCUAGACUCGAUUCCCAAUUGAUGCA
rnacentral:tRNA from 1 species